ACGAGUUUGAUCCUGGCUCAGAACGAACGCUGGCGGCAUGCCUAACACAUGCAAGUCGAACGAAGCCUUCGGGCUUAGUGGCGCACGGGUGCGUAACGCGUGGGAACCUACCAUCAGGUUCGGAAUAACAGUUAGAAAUGACUGCUAAUACCGGAUAAUGUCUUCGGACCAAAGAUUUAUCGCCUUUUGAUGGGCCCGCGUUGGAUUAGCCAGUUGGUGGGGUAAAGGCCUACCAAGGCGACGAUCCAUAGCUGGUCUGAGAGGAUGAUCAGCCACACUGGGACUGAGACACGGCCCAGACUCCUACGGGAGGCAGCAGUGGGGAAUAUUGGACAAUGGGCGAAAGCCUGAUCCAGCAAUGCCGCGUGAGUGAUGAAGGCCUUAGGGUUGUAAAGCUCUUUUACCAGGGAUGAUAAUGACAGUACCUGGAGAAUAAGCUCCGGCUAACUCCGUG
rnacentral:rRNA from 1 species